rnacentral:lncRNA from 1 species
AUGGGCCUGGUACCAAGGACGUGGCUUGUGGCCUCAGAGCUCAUGCGUUCGUGCCCAGGAGCAGACGGGAACAAGGUUCCAGGCAGCAGGCAUGGGAAAAUGGGGGGAAAGUGUAUCCAUAAGCACGGAGUGUGCACACACGUGUGCGUAAGCAGAGACGCACACGCUCUCUCCCGUGCCCCCGGCGGGGUGGCCCGCUCUGCACACCUGUGCCCCCGCGCUGCUGGUGCAGGUGGACCGAACGUGUCUGCAAAGCUUGUCUCACAACAGGGUAUGACGUGGUACAAAAUGCACGUGUUUUUAUUAAGCCUGGGGUGGGGGGGCGAGCUCCCGCUGUUGCAAAACCGCUGGCAGAUUCUCAACUCGCUGGCAAGUCUCCCUGCUCCGGGACAAGUAGCUUCCUGCCUCAGUGGGACCGCCGCCCGCACCCCCGGGCGUCCUGCUGGUCUGCAGCCCUUCUCCUGGCGUCCGCAGGGAAUCCCGCUUUCCCGAAGGGGAGCGUCACCGAGGCUGUGCCCAAGUGUUUGGAUGUACGUGUCUGUGUCCACCGAGCAUGAGAAGCCUGCCUGCCGUCCACAUCUGUGUCCACUGAAGACGCCAGGGGCACGCACGUCCAGACGUUGCCUCCCACAGGCCCUCGGCCCUGCCCCACUGGCUCCUGCCACAUUUCCUGACAGUGCCCCGUCCCGCGUGGCCGCCCUCCUUCCAGCCGUCAGUGCGUGGGGGCCACGCGGACGACAGCUGCCCUGAGCCCUCCCCUUAUGACUUCAUAAUGAAUAAAUUACAGGAAGGGCCGCCUAACA